CCUUUAUCUAAGAAUCCCCAACAGGGAGAACGAAAGAAAAGUAAAGGCAAAGCUGGAUUUUAGGAAUAGUAUAUCGAAACGACGACCACACAAACCAAAGGAAGGCGAAAGUAAAGAAUACGAACACCCGGUGUUUAGGGUUACGCCGAAAAUGGGUGAUGUGCGUAUUCUUUACCUCCGCUCCAAAGGAAACUUGAUUUUGUCAUACCUGGUAAAAUCCAUCGGAUAAUUGCAGCUUCGAACGCGUCUUUAUUUUCAUGUUCAAUAGGUACAAGGAAACAUUUGUCAGUGCCACGUUCGAUCCCACCAAAAACACGAAAUCCUUUCAAAUGCCUUUUAUUGGAUUUAGAUCUGGAAAAUGUAGUUAUAUCUAUUUCGACGACUUUUGGUUCACCUGUCUGUAAAUCGAAGCCGCCUAUCUCAGGUGCGUCAUCUAUUUCAGUGGGAUGGUCUUCCAGAAACCGUUCUAGUAGUUCUCGGAUGAGCCUGAACAGGUCAAUAGUUGACUUUGCACAAACAUUUGUCUCAUGAGUGAUUUCAUUAUGUAGAUAAUCUCUUGACCACAUAUACAUAAGCCAUAUGAAUGUUGUCAGCGAGAGGUGACUAUUCUC